rnacentral:rRNA from 1 species
AUUGAACGCUGGCGGCAUGCCUUACACAUGCAAGUCGAACGGCAGCACGGGUGCUUGCACCUGGUGGCGAGUGGCGAACGGGUGAGUAAUACAUCGGAACAUGUCCUGUAGUGGGGGAUAGCCCGGCGAAAACCGGAUUAAUACCGCAUACGAUCUACGGAUGAAAGCGGGGGACCUUCGGGCCUCGCGCUAUUGGGUUGGCCGAUGGCUGAUUAGCUAGUUGGUGGGGUAAAGGCCUACCAAGGCGACGAUCCGUAGCUGGUCGGAGAGGACGACCAGCCACACUGGGACUGAGACACGGCCCAGACUCCUACGGGAGGCAGCAGUGGGGAAUUUUGGACAAUGGGCGAAAGCCUGAUCCAGCAAUGCCGCGUGUGUGAAGAAGGCCUUCGGGUUGUAAAGCACUUUUGUCCGGAAAGAAAUCCUUGGCCCUAAUACGGUCGGGGGAUGACGGUACCGGAAGAAUAAGCACCGGCUAACUACGUG